UGUGAGAGUCAACAAUGAUGGCGGCUGUUGCAAGUUGCAAACGUCAAUCUUCGCUGACAUUGGAGUUUCUUUAUGUUGGAAACAAUCUGAAAAGGUUGCCAUGGCGGGAGUUAGUGUUUCCUCCAUGUAGUAAUGCUGUCUGCUCUCAAGUGCUCACAUCCUCAUGCACGGAGUUUGCUACGGCAAUCUCCUCUGCAUGCCGCUUCGGACACCUCCCCCCCUCUGUGCUACAGCACAGCUGUGGGCUGUAGAAAUUGGAAUUUUCUGGAUCUUCCGCAUAGCUCGAAAAGUGUAUUGACUACCAGCUCCAGGAAGUUGCCCAAAGCGGGUGGUUCGCCAAUUCUCAAGGAUGAGCAGUCCACCAUAGAUCUUGCCAACGUACCUGCUCACCAUAUGAUGCGGGAUGCUGGGAAGCUCUGACCAUUAAUAUGGUACAAAAGCACACGGCCAAUUGACAAGAAGCCACACAUGGUUGGAGAAACAGCGUGGGGAAGAGCCAACGCAACCAGUGGGAAAAAGGAAGAGGAGGAGGAGGAGGAAGGAGAGAAACAUAAAAGAGAACCACAUGAAAAAUAAUGAAUGACUCCGGUCCUAAAGAAGUGAUGCGGGAGUCAUGAGAGUUUAGGGAAGGCAUUGAAACGAAACAGUGCUAUCGUUGUAAUGGCAUUCUGAACUACCAUGAGUCGUGCGAACAUGCUGAAGGGUUGCCUUAUCCUUCUUACUGUCAUUUAAGUCAGCGACUGCAUUACUGGAUUUGCGUUUGAGAAAGUGCAAGCAAAAGGAGGCAGUGUACACAACCAUCAUACUCUGCACCACAGAAUUGCCUACUUGGCCAGGGGCCACAGUGCAGUGGCCCCUUAUUGCAGUACCACACUAUAACUGUUGAAAGCAGCAGUCAGCUCUUGUGCAUUGGCCAAGUUGUCGACAGCGAUGGCCAAGAACACAUUCAAUAGCGUAUCUGCUGGUGUUCCCGAUUCGAAGUUGAAGCUAAAAAGAGAAGAAAGGAGUUAUUCUGUGUAUCCAGACUAUCAAGACCAAUUAAUCAAUCACUGAGAGCGAGACCAGAAGCACUUACACGCCACCAAAGAGCUGCAUUCCGAGGAGUGCAAAGAUGAGAAUGAACAGGAAGAGUAGGAACAAAAGACUGAUGAUUGAUCUCAUACUGUUCAGCAGUGAGAUCACCAGGUUUCGAAGUGAUGACCAGUAUCUGCGAUGGACAAACAUGCAUUCAAUCUGGCCAAACAUGCAUCUGAUGGACAGUGACAACAUUAGUGCUACUGUUAAUCCUCAGUGUAAUGAAUGUCAGUCUACCUAAUGAGUUCUGCAAUGUAUUGGGCAUGCUUGCACGAAUGUUUGGGGAUUCCUCAUUGGCGUCCUCAGAAGCUCUGGUAGUCUUCAACAUUGCUCGUCUGUAGAGCACUGCCAAAGCUACUGGGGCCAGCACCAAGGAAUUUCCUUAAUACUUGUGCAAGUGGGGCAUGAAGUUUCCAAAUUUUUCUCCCAUUGAAGUCAAUCGUUUUUCUCAAUUAUGGUCAUUUCAUAGCUUAUAUUCAAUGUGAUGAAGUUUCCUUAAUGCAGCUCUAGCACACGCUAGGCCAUGGAGAAGUCGAGCCACGUGAUGCGACCCUGUUGUGUCGAGGUUUAACUGUACUACUACACGUAUAGUGCAUCCGGAAAAGCUGUAUUCAAUCCUAAUUUGCUGUGCAGUGUAAUGUAAGGCAGUCAUUUGAACUCCUGACAGCAGAAGCAGCAAUAACUUGAAUUAGCUUUGAAAGUUUUGCACAGCUUCUGGCACAGCUUCUUAUCGGUAGUCUGGAAGAAAUUGAUAGAAUAACCAGAAUUGCAAAUUUGGCACGGCAAGAUUUUUUCUCUUGUAGGUACGAAGCUGAGUCCCUCUAAUUAUACCAUAUACUUCCUUGCAGUUUGUUUCACGUAAAUGAGAUACACAGCAGCAUAUCUCGCAUGAUUUUAUUGUGCUUUUUCUUUUCUCAGCAUGACCACACUAACAUUGCUUUACUUUGAUCUUGGAAACACACGAUAUAGUGAUGACUAGUGUGAUUACACGACUAUGAGCACAGUGACCCACUUACUUUGUAAAUUUAAAUAUCCUCAGUAACCUAAGUGCACGAAGAACGGAAAGUCCAAAAGAACCUUCCUUGACACUGGACCAAACGACUUCGAAUAUACUGCCAGCUAUAACCUAGAAAACAGGCAUUUAGACAUUUAGCAUAGAACGCAAGGACAUCAAAUAAGAGUACGAAGGCGUAUUUCCCAAAGAGGUGGUCCGAUACUUACUACACAGUCAAAUCUAUUGAAAGACGACUCAAAAUAAAUGCGUGGUCCAAGAGCAUACACCUUGAUUAGCAUCUCAAAGAUGAAAAGUCCCAAAAAUGCAAACUCUGCAUAAUCUACAGGGAGGACAGAAUAUGUGCAGGUUUAAAUUUUUUUUCUCUCUUUAAUCCUGUAUGAAAAUUGAAUGUGAAGACACUCACAUAAAAAGUCUGUCAACCACUGCGCUUGAUUAUGAUGCUCCACUGCCACACAUAUUGUGUUGAGAAACACGAGAACUAUGACUAUCCAAUAAAAAGUUUGUGUUUUUACAACGUGCCGGAUAAAAAACCUGGAACACAGAUUUGAUAAGGCGUGAGACAUCGUCAUUUUAGUAUGCUGUGCUUGGCUCGUAAAAAUCAUAUAAAAGGGUGGUGAUCACACUUGUAUGAUGUGUUACCUAAAUCUCUUCUCUGCUCUCCAAAAUGCUUUACAAGCUCCCUUAUUCUUUAUUUUUGUUUUCAAGUAGGAAGCCCGUGCAAACCCUGUUGCAAGAAAGAGAGAACGUCCAGUCAUACAUGGAUUCUGUUUUAGCCUUUGAUAAGAGCAGCAUAACAGAGUUGAACCACAAUGUAACAAAUGUUGAUGUAAAAAAUUCAUAGGUUUAACAGAGGGGACGUCCAUAUAAUUUUUUAUGUUAUAGUUUGUUUUCCUUUCGUUUCUUUUUUUUUUUGUGUGUGUGUGUCUGAGUUUUUAAAAUUCCUGCACAGCAUUUUUGAUUUAAGAAAACUGCACCACUGUUGUAUGGGAUGGUGGUGCACUGCACAACUCAUCACCACAAGAGAAUCUGGGAAAACGUAGAACUGUGCUAAAUCACGGUUUCUUUUUUGUUCUUCAAGCACUUGUUUCCAUAUUCAGAAAACAAUGAUAGUAAAUAAAGAAAACUCAAUAAAAUGGCCAGUAGGGUUGGUAUAAGUGAAGCUCGAACAAGGUGAGAGCACAUUUUAUGAAAAGAUGAGCUCAACUGCGUGUAGAGGUGUCAUUAUAGAUCACCGAAUAGUACUUGGAGACAUAUUCAUGCUUAUAAAUUCAAUGUUACUGCAUGUAAUACUUAAUCCACUCUGGCAAUUUCAGCACUUAUAAUGCCACUAUUACAUAAUGCCACUGUGACUUCAUACACAUUUCUGUAUAAUAAACUUUAUCUUCAAUAUAACAGACAAAAAUGUUCUUCCACAACUCCGUGACAUUGAAGUUCAACUCUCAAGUGCAAAUCAAUGAAGUUCCCCCUAUGCCUUGGCAUAGGAUGAACUCCCACUACCUGCAGAACUGCUGCCUAUUCUUCUAAACAAGAGGUGCUUCAUGUCACAUCCUUGCAAGAUCUACCUCCAAAGCACACUAUGUCUAUGGCAUGUCAAACAGCAGUGCACAGUACAAAUAGGAGUCCUCAUUACAGCUCAAUAUAUUUAUCGUAGUGAACUUACAAACGCUUUAGUUUACAGUUUACAUGAAUGGCAGUUAUUCCACAGAGUGUCAGUUUUUGAGAUUUUUUGAGAAACAAAGUUCCAGAAUUUUGUUCUAAAUGUUGCGCAGAUUUAUGAAAGUCCUAUAAUUUUGUAUAGUGGUUGUGCUGAUUAUUAACAACAUCAACAUUUAUGUUGCAAUACUAUUCCACAUGUUACAAUCUAAUUUGUAAGUGCGAAUUGUUCAAAGAGAGAGCGCAUUUUGGACAUUCACCUAGCAACCUUGUCUACAAGGCUAAGGGGACAAUUUAAAACUUCUUUCUUUUUUAAGCUCAAGGGAAGCUCCAUAGCUCCCAAUUGCACCAUUCACUGCCAUUGCUAAAUGUAAAUAGAGACAGACAGAAACAAGCAGACGAGAAUAGAUGACAGCAUCAUUCUCGGACAAGAAAGUGCUCUACGACAGGCUCCCUCUAAAACUAAAAAAAAAACCCUUCUAAGAACUCUCCUAGGGUACGUGGGGGGGGGGGAGAUCUCCGCUGCUAGAGCUAGGCACGACCACCACCACCACCAGCACAAUGCGUUUUCUACGAGGACACCAAAGAAAAGGAGAGGCCUACACUGUCCACUACCGUUCGGGAUCUGCGACCCAUGCCUGUACCUUUUAAUUUAACCUUCCUAGGAGGCUCUGAGGCAUCAGAGAGCGUGACACACAUUGAACCCCCAUCAUGGCGGAAGCACAAUGUGCGAGGGGAAGCACAUGCGGAAGAAAGAAAAUGGGAAACCGGUUAGAGAACGUCCUGCUCUUCUACGCUUCAACUGGAAUGACCCCUUUAAUUUUUUUUCUACGGGUGUCACACACUGAGACGACAGUUCACACGCAGACAGAGCACGGUAGAGAAAGCUUCCGUAGCACAGCCCAGCUGCAACGCUUUCGUUUGAUCGACACAAAUUUAUCUGGGAGCGGCAUGUACCCCGAUGGUACAGCAUAAAUUUUCCUCCAACUUCUAAACUUCACUUCUGCAACUUCUAACUGGAAACACUCCGCAAAGGAAAACAAUAUCUUCACAAUGUCUUGUGUGAGUCCUUCACACAAUUUCUGAACUCGUAACGCUAAAAACCCAGCAUGCCUCCUAAGUACAGCCUGGAGUUUUCGGGAAAUAUUUUUUCUAAAUUCCGGGGGUAAAAAUUGGGUAAAUAAAAAUAUGCUCUAUAUGAUGUAACUGCAUUCGCUGCCAAACAAGCUAGUGUGCAUUGCCAGGUAACAAUCGGGUUUCACUCUAAAGAAGCAACCUUCAAUUCGGGGUGCAAAUUCGGGGAAGAAUCAGGUUGAACCCUAAACCUUCAGGCUGUACUCAUAGGUCAUGAGACCAUAUAAGUUAUUACAACUGCUUACUUAAUCUGUUUAACGAGAAUCUUAAAAUGAAUUUAGCGAGAACAACAGUGUGCUGUGAAACAUGUAGAAUUAGGAGCAAAGCGAAGAGAGAAAAGCUGUGUGUGAGAACAUGAAGUGACGUCUCAGUGAUGAAAAUAUUAAAUUUAAUAACAUCACUGUUAUCAAUAGUGUGCAGUGCAUAAUCCAUACUCAAACAUGUAUAUCUGACAAGAGCAACAGUUGAGCAAAGUUCACUACAAGAAGUUACCCCAAAAUGUCAUGUCAGUUUUCCAAACAGAAUUGCGCUAAGCUGGCACUCACUAUGACGUUUCCACUGGUGUACAUGCAUCUUUGUCUGUGACAUGUAUUAUGCACAACCCAUUCAGAGCAACACCACUUGCAGACAUGGUGCCCUUGCAAAGUGAAUCCUCACUAUAAUAAUGAACCACUGCAGAUUCUCAAAGAUGGACAGUUAACUUGAAAAUUUACUGAACCCCCCCAAAUUCACCAUAAAUUCGAAAAAAGAAUGGUCACUCAGUGGUCAUUCAUCACCUGUUCAACAACAGAAGCUGCUUCCCAACCCGAGCACUGUCCAUAUUUAAAGCUCUUUUUCUUACGUACUGAACAGAGAGCGAAAACACGAAAACUCCACCGGAUGCGUGUUGUAUUCAUGUUUUCGCUCUCCAUUCACGAUAGUAUACAACAAUCAAUUUCGUAACUUUCCAAUCAGUUUUUUUUCUUUACAUGUUACUUAGCAAUGUAGGCUUACGUGACCACAUAUCACCUAUGCUCAUGUUGCUAUUAGAUGCAGUAAAGUUCACCGUGUAGUUGAGAAGCACACUAACUUCAAGAAAUUCAGGCUGCAGUCUAUGCGGGGAAGCAGUACAGGCUUUAAAGUAUAGCUGAAUUAGAGCUUGACAUGACUUCAUCUUUUGCUGACAUUCCUAUGAAUAGGUUGUGCACUGUUCACGUUUGAGAAAGAAUGUAGCUUAUCGGUGUACUACAUGAGAGAAACGAGGGGCAGUAUAAAUGUCUACCUUCGUCUUCAACAUCUUCUUCCUCCUCCUCAUCUGUGCUUUUACUGUGCAUGCUCUUUAACUUUUUUCGUUUCGCUGCUGCUCUUCUUCGAGCUGAAAUGCGAAGAACAAUACAGAAGAAUAAAUUACAAAGGGAGGGAUGCUUGCGUUGCAAUGAACCUCUCUCGUAAAUUGCUGCAAUCAAUUGUGUGACGUUCUGGGGCACUAGUCACGGUGACCUCUAGUUUCAAAAUAGUGCAGGUAUUUCAAAAACACUGCAGCAGCGCAGUGCACACAAGCUGCUCCUGACUAGCCCUUGGUGGCAUGGGAGAGCAUUCCGUGUUGCUUACUGCAGCACCGUUUCUUCAAAGCUCGCUCGAUGAAGUUUCUGCAGGUAAUGUUGCCUGCAUGCACAUGGGCCAAGGGGCAGCAGUUUUCGGUGGUACAUUGUGCUCUAGCUUAUUUAGUUCAUGCUGCGUAAAGUUAAUCUUUGGACUCAUAAAGUGUGAACAUAUAAGGGUACAAUUUGUGCUUCUGUUUUCCUCACCUUCCAUAAUGUGCAUUUUUUCCUCCUCGGUCGUCCUCUCCUCGGCCAAUAUUACUUCCUCUGAAAAAGUGAGAGACACUGAUUUACAUUUCAGUACGGUGCGAGAGAGAUUACAUACGGAGAAAUUAUAUACGGGAACAAGAAAACAUAGAGGAGUACAUACAGGAUUGCAUACAGGGGUACGUUACAUACAUACAUACAUACAUUACAUACAAGAAAUUACAUGUAUUACAUAAGAUAAGUUGCAUACGGUGCAAGAGGAAUUACAUACAGUGCAAGAGAAAUUACAUGCAUACAUACAAUACUACUGUUGAUAGAUACAUCUAAUACUACUGCCAGUGAAUGGAUGAAAUACAAAAAAAGAAGAAGAAAAACGGAAUAAUUUGUAUAUCUCCCCGGACCCAACCUUUGACAGUGGUGUCGGAGCAGUGUGACAUCACCCCUUCAAAGUACAAGCUCACCUGCUUUGCAGAUCCACUCCACGUAGCCGUUGAGCUCUCUUUCAAGCUGCUGCUGUCUGCGGAUUUUAAGAAAGGCCUGCCGGUUUUCAACCCUCUCUCUCUCUUUUGCAAAUUCACUGGAAAAGGAAAGCAAUACAAAUGUCAGAGUUUUUAGACUCAUUCUUUUUUUGUGCUGGAUGCCAAAAUACACAGGGAGAGGAGCGGUAAGCGUGCAAACUCACCCACUAAGGACACCAAGUACUAAGUUGAGCAUAAAAAAGGACCCGAGGAUGAUCAGAGGUACAAAGUAGAUCCAGUUGAAUGAACUACCCAAGGCAUCAUUUGUCUGCAGCGAAACAGAGAGAGCGAUGAAGGAUGGGGGAAAGAGAGCAUAAUUACUUGCACAGCUUCACUAAGAGUGCUCCGCAAAUACAUUUCCCUUUUUCUCCUGGGGUGGGGGUGGGGGGAAGAGCCAAUACGCUAUGCAAGUAGGUCAGCUGUCUGUGCAGCCCACCAUUUUCCCUCCCUCCCCUGUCGACCCACGCAGAGUACCAUGCUGGUCUAUGAAUACCUCCUUACUGCUGCCUUUUGCACAGACAGUCUCUUUGUCACGUGGUUCCUCCAAACUUUACCCUCUCCCAUGCACAAGAGAUGAACUGUCGACAGCCGUGUAAGUCCGUCCGUAACAGUUGUGGAGAGAGAAGGAAGAAGUUAUAAAGGCACCAAAGGGAGUGUAGGUGCCCGAAGAUCACGAUUGGAAGUUGGCCCCCUGCAAGCCUAGUGCAUUUAAAUGCAUUUGGCAUAAUGUCCCAAGAUGCCCUCAUUUCUGGCCAAAAGAACACCCUCCUGAUCAGUUUACUUUAAGUCAACGAUUGACACACACAGACAAAAAAAGAGAAGAGGAUACUCUGUUAGGAAUUGCCUUGUAGCUUGUUUCUCUAGUAUCGACAUGCAAACUUCUCCGUGGCUCAAUCUACCUCUGAGCUUAGGAGAGCCUUAUGCAGACAUUUUUUUCUGUGUAGAAUGUUUAUUCUUGUUCAUGUUUGAUGUAAGUAGUUUACUUAUACUGUAAUUGCCGCUGACUGUACCAGACCCACUGUCACAGGCCGCUUGUCUUAGGUGGGUCUGUUGUGUUCUCGGUUGCUGAUUGUCGUUAA